GAGGCUGUCACAGUGAAAAAAGAGAAGGCUUUGGAGGCUGUUUUGUGAGGAGAAAGCUAAAGAGGAAGGCAAGGAAACCUGAAAUGGAAUCAAUUGAAGAAGUAGGCUUAUUAUUGGUAUUGCAUCCUAAUUCUCUUAUUUCAUCUUAUGGGGUAAGCAACUUUAGUUCUUUGUGCUACUUUUGGCAGGUGGUUUAUAUCAUUGGCUUCCUCUGGCAUUGGGAGCUGGUAAGCUGUAUGUGGUAACUGGUAAGUGACUUUUAUAGUCAAUUGCAAUAUGCUUGUAUUUGUAAUAUAAACUAAACAGAGUUGGUCCACUAACCAUAAAGUUGAAAUGUGAAAUCCUAAUUUAAGAACUGAGGAGAAAUUUGAAUGAUGUGUUCCAUGAUGGUAGCAUGAACAGUUUUAGUUUAUAACUUUCUACAACAAUCAGAUUGAAUAUUACAAUAUUAAUACUUCCAUACCUAAUGGUUUGUCUGGUUGUUCAAUAUUACAAUAACUGUUCCAGGGCAUAUAUUUUUGCUUAAUAGUCAGGAAAAAAGUUGACUCUGAUACUGAUUUCUAUGCGUUGGUUAAUUCUUCUUACUGCCAUCUUUCAAUUGCAAACUCUUCAUGUGUGGUAUAUCUCUUCCAUGCGCAAACCGGUUUCUGGAUAUUAAAUUCAUGUAGGCUUAUGAACUUGUAUGAAUGUAUGUAUAUGCAUUCCAUGUAGAUGAGAAUCCUUGUUUAGAGCUCUCACAUAUUAUCAGGUUUAUGCACUGAUAACUGACAGGUUUCUCUAUCCCAAUUGCAGUGUCUGCUAUCAUGCAAUUAUAUUUGUUGUUUGGGGGAAAGGGAGAUUGAAAUUGCUGUGACCAGCCCUAUCUCUAAUUUCUUAAAAGCCACUUUUUAUAGUAUGCAGCCUUGGUCCUUUGAAGAUGAAGCCUUGAGGAAAAAACGAAAGCAUAGGCCGAACCGAUCAUUGUAUAAACAAAGUCCCAACAAAAAUAUUUAAUAAAUUCAAGAAAUGCUAUACUUAAUCUCAGGUUAAAUAUGGGAGAUAAACCCUGUUUUUAUUUCAUCAUUUUAUCUUAAAAAAUGACUGCUUCUC
rnacentral:lncRNA from 1 species